UCAGUCACAUUCACUUUCUUGCAAUUUGCAUGGUAUUUUGUUCAUGGUUGCAUUCUUUUAAGAGGUUUUGUUCAUUUCUUCUUUUUUUUUUUUUGCUUGACUGUGGGUAGUUGUUCUUUUUUUUAAAAGAGUAUCGAGCAGAUUGUCAAUUCGGGAGCAAAAAAGAACACGAUCGUCCUGAGGCAGGAUAAUAAUAAUAAUAAUAAUAAAUAAAGGGCGGGUAGUAAACUUUCGUGAGAGUAGAACUGCAUGCAUAUAUAAUCAUGUAUAAAUAGAUAUGUAAUAAAGGCAAUGAAAAUAUGUACGUAAUAAGUUUCAGGGCUGGAUUAUCUGCGAUAUAUAAAAGUUGGAGUAUGUUGAAGCUGAAUAUUUUAAGCGAUUUGUGUAAUAGUGCUGAAUAUAAUGAGAUCGAUAUAGGGAUUGCGUAUGGGGGCAUGAUUCGUUCUUGGAGGAUCCACACAUUCCCCCGUGAAUCGAAAGUCAGACGAUAUCUAAUUCGUCCAAGGGACAAAUGAUCGCAUCAUCGUCCCGGAAAGUGAGCAAUGCCGUGCACUUCCGGCUGCGUGCACCGUGCCACCAUUCUCGUUCCAUCGGUGACUUGGGGAUCAAACGUUACCGGGGUUCUGAUCCUCCAAGUACGAGCAUAGCAAGGUGGCAGGCACAGUUGUUACUACUGGUAAAAAAAAAAUAAGAAUAUAAAAUCCAAAAACCAGAGUGAACGGUAUAUAAAAAGGAAACGCAAAUCAGUUUAAAUCAAAUUGAAAAAAACGUAACGGAAAGAAGAGAGAAACGGAUAUAU
rnacentral:misc_RNA from 1 species